GCACAGUUAACUAACAAUGCCAAGGAAGUUGAAAAGCUGAGCCCUUGAACAUAAUGAGGAAGUGUCAAUCUUCCAUUGUUAGAUCCUUUUUCCUUAAGGCAGGAGAUCUCACAAGCAAAAUUCUUUAACAUUUGGUGAGUGCAAAUGGAUUGUAACUGCUGAUCAGUCUCAUGCCUGCAACAUGACAAGGAAGCCAUGGUUAACUACUGCGCAGCAAAUAAGGAGGGCUAUGGCUUUAAUUUGAAACAACCUCCAACCAUGUGAAGAAGCUCUAGCAAUACCAUCUGCUUCACAAAGGAACCAGGCUGAUGACUAUGAUUGUGAGUGGAGCUGGUUCCCCCCCCACCAGAGCAGAAGAUAAAGAAUGAAGGCCAGAAGGCUAGUACACAGUAGUCUUGGAGAAAUUAACACAAGAUGAAUCAGCAAAAAGAAGCAUGCUGAAAUACGUGAACAGCCUUGAAACCAUGAAUGCCAAGUGGUAUACUUGCUUGCAGUGGGAAGACACUGAUAAGAAGAGAGAAGGCAAUGGUGACAAGUGGCCUGAUGCUAAGAAAAUCGUGAUAGGCAAGGCCAGCAGGCCUAACAUCUGCUGUAGAUGCAAGAAGAGCCAAUCUUGCAGAUGAAGUCUGAAGGCCGUCUGCUGGAGUAUUCUCUCUUUCAUGAAAGAGCCUUCCUGGAGCUCUACCUAAUCUUUUGCUGUGGAUGUCUGCAUCUGCUCCUAUCAGUUUCUGGAUGAAGCUACUCUGAUGACAGUUAUAUUAGGCUUUGGUCUAUGAAUAUAGCAGAAUAUCAUUAAGAAUAAUUUCAUUGAUUUGUUUGUUUGUUUGUUUGGUUGGUUGGUUGGUUGGUUUUGCCAGUUAUUUUUAGUUUUACCCUAUGCCUCUGAGCCAUUCAGCUUCUGAUUCCAGGCAGUGUUGGGCAUCCCUCACCUGUCAUGGACCCCAGGUUAGACCAGUCAUUGAUUGGUCACUCCAUUUCCAAGAUAAGAACUUAUUAAACCCUGUCUACAAAAAAUUAAUAAAAGGAGCAAUAUUCCAAGAUAAAGUUUGGUUUUCUACACAAUCUGUUUCCUUAGCUUGAAUGAUUAUGAGUCUCUUCCCUCAAUUGCUAAUGUUAAGGGCAUCACUGAACUAACCAAAAUAAUUCUUGUGUAUUUUUUAGAUAUAGAGCUCUGUGGCGGGGAGGGACUAGAGGUAGACUCUGGAUAGCUUCUUUUAUUAUUCUCCACUCUAUUUUUUUGAGACAUGUUUUCUCAGCAAAGAAACUGGAGACCAUUGUUUCAGCAAGAAAACACAAAUGUUUCCCAAGGAAGACAUAUUAGAUAACUAUGUAAGAAGAAUGAUGAUCCCCAGGAGCUGUGAAGAGGAAAUGAGGAGUUGUUUAAUGGAUACAUCUUCACUCUGAGAAUACGGAAGGUUUAGAGAUCACUGGUGUAGAUAACUGAAGUAAAAUAUGAAUGUCUUAAAUACCAUUGAACUGCAUAUUUAAAUUAUUUAAAAUGAUAAGUAUUAUGUCAGUUGUAACAACCACAAAUUUUUGGAAUAUAUGUAUUAACUCUUCAAGUGUAAGAUUACAGUGUUCAGAAUUGGUUUUAGAAAAAAAAUGUGUUUUUGGCUGAUCAAAUGGUGAAUGUUAUGAACACAAGUAUAUAUACACCUAAAAGAAAACGAAUAGAGAAAUGUAUUGAAAAUAAAAACUGAUAUGUACACCUCACAAAAACAUCAAUUCAUCAGGUAAAUAUAAAGUCCUAACCCUAUAUACACAGAAUAGCAAAGCUGAGGCAAACACACUGUCUCAGAACAAGGUGAGAAGGCGAUAGAGGAAGAUAUCCAAGCACUGAACCUAGAAGAGUCUCCACACGGGCCCACACACUCAAGUACAUAAAUACAUAUGUAAGUAAAAUAUUUUUAAUUUAAAUGUGUUUUAAAACACAUUAAAACUGAUAUCAAUGAGAAAGGAAAAUAUUAAUUAUCAAGGUAAUAAUGUAAAAUAUAAUAACAAACACUUGAAGUAACUUGCCAGGUGAUCUGUCGUGCAGUAGGAUGAAUAUCUUAGUAGCUAAUAUUGAGCUGGAAUUACCUCCUCAUGCCACAGUAUAUCCAAAUCAAAGACUGAUCAACAAAAUCAUUCAGCACCUGAUGGGAGAUAAUUAUAUGAUCUAUGUUUUCAACUGGAAUAACACAAGAAAUAUCAUGAGAGAUUUACUGUGGUUGGUCCAGAGGCUUUAUCACACCUUCUUUUGAGAGUAGUGAAAAUGGAAAGUUAAGGAGAUUAUACAUUACUUUCUUACUGUGAAUUGAGCUUAUAUCCCAAAAGAUUUGGUGUGAGUGUGAGCAUGUGUGUUCAUAUUCAUGUGCCUAUAUGUGUUUAUAUUGGAUUGAUUGAUGGAAAGAUGUCAGAAGACAAGAAAUGGACAUAAAUUCCCUCAGUGUGAACACAGAAAAGGAGAACUUGAUUGCAUAAUAACAGCUGUACAGGACAGAGGCAGGAAAGAGCACAGCACUGUCUCAGUCAAAGACAAAUGUCCAUGAUCUUGAACCUUCCCAAAAAGAUGGAAGGCUUGAGCAUCUGUGUGUCUGCCAGCUGCCAUUUCAGUGACCCCACAGGUUCCCCUGUGUGAAAUCAGUACAAAUGAUUUGGGAAUGGAUGUGUGAAGGACAUUAAUGUACAUAACAUGAAUAACCCAUAGAGCUUUCAUCAAUGUCAAUACAAGAAUAUGGCCAGGCGGUGGUGGUGCACGCCUGCCUUUAAUCCCAGCACUCGGGAGGCAGAGCCAGGUGGAUCUCUGUGAGUUCAAGACCAGCCUGGUCUACAAAGCGAGUUCCAGGAAAGGCGCAAAGCUACACAGAGAAACCCUGUCUCGAAAAAACCAAAAAAAAAAAAAAAAAAAGAAUAUACAUGUCAGAGUUUUAAAUAAUUUACAUAACCACAGAAAUAUUCUAUGUUUGGAACCUAAUUCAAAAAUGCAAAUAAAUUCCCAAUAUUUUCUGUAGGUAUACUCAUAUAAAAAUUUUUAUGUAGUAGUAUCAGCCUGUGACUUCAUUUUCCCUUUCUGAUUAAUCAUACACAUGUUCAUCAGUUUUCAUAUUUUCUGUGUCACCUGGGUAAGUGUGAUAGUGAUUUGGAGAUGUGGUGCCAUUUGUCUUAACAAUCAUCCCUUAGGGAUGACUUUCUCUGCUUGUCAGACCUCUUCUCUAAGUAUUCAGAUGAUUGCCAUCAAAUAUUAUUUUAAAUUACAUUUAUUUAGUUGGUUGGUUACAAAUUAAAGAAAUAUAUAUGCUUGCUAUUUUUUGUGAGAAUCCUGUCUCCUUUUAUAUCAUUUCAGUGCAAUUAACUGUUAAUUGUUAUGGGGCAGUUAGUGUAAGCCACAUAACAAGAAGCAACUAUUCUUGUUUAGAGGCCUUUUUUCCCUCACAACCCUCUUAAUAUGGUCUUAAAAACUGCUUUAAGUGCAAUGUCCUUUUCUGUGGAACUUGUGAGUAUGUUCCCUGGGGGGGAAAAAAAGAAAAAUAAGAAAAGUGAAGAGAAAUGGAAGGAAUGGGGGAGUGAGGGGAUGCCUAAUUUGCCAUAUGCUAAUAGUUCUACCUUCCAAUCACUUCACUUUUAAGUAAACACUUCUGAAAGAGGAUUUUCUCCCUCACUUUACCAUAAAUAUUUCCUACAUAAGAGCAUAUUGACUACAUUGUCAGAGAAGAUCAAAGGUGUUCACAGAAAGGAAUCCGAAAGAAGUCACACUUUUGCUAAAAUUUGGUACAUAUGGAGUUUGUUCUCACAACUUACAAAAGACAUUGUGAAUGUAUAAAUAAACUGUAUGAAGUCUG